CACUGUGGGAAGGCGAGCGAUGGCAAGCGAUUCGCUUCGCUGCAGUGUGAACGCACCGUUAAUCGUUUCUACAGUAACCACCACUGGAAGACUGUGGAUACCUUUAUUUUGAAAAGUUUGGGAGAAAUCAAGCGGUAAUUUGAUCCCUUAUUGAGACUGGCUCAUACAGCUGGCUUGGCUUCACCCACAUAGCUUCAAUUUGCCAAUGAAACAGAUGGUGGUUUAUGCUACCUGUACCUCUAAUCUUUCUGCGAUAAAUACGACUCGCUUGAUUCGAUUGAUUAAAUACGAUGUUCGUCAUAUUCACGACCUGAUACUAUCCGAAAACACAAUCUAUUGGAUCAACUAGGAAGGCUUAGGCCUGGAAUGGAGCCCCCUGCAGUGGAGGACGACAUCUACAUCCUAAAACAUGAGACGGCAUAUGUGGCAGCCGAGAGCCCAGUGUCGGUGUGUGCUGGGGACGAGUCAGUGGCCUCACACUUCGCCCUGGUCACUGCCUAUGAGGACAUCAAGAAACGCUUGAGGGACACAGAGCGAGAAAACACUUUACUGAGGAAGAGGGUCAAACAGCUGGAGGACAAGCCAUUUAGACCAGAAGCGCCCCCCUCAGAAGGACCCCAGUAUGUGAACAAGGCAUUCAGUGCCUACCGAGGUAUCUACAUGGAAAAUAAAGAGCUACAGGCGGAGCUGAAAAAACUGAAAAAGGAUAGAAGUGAAUCGGAGAAGCUGCUGCUCGAUCAGUUGCAGGCCAAAGAGUUGGAGCUGCUGGAGUUGAGGACAGAUAUCGAAACAAGCCAAGUGAUGAAGAGUCUGAAUAGCAGCCAGGACCUGUGGCAAAUGGACCUGGUGAAAAAUGGCCUGAAGAUGCACACACUCCAAGAAGAGCUGGAGAGAGUACAACAGGAGAACAUCCAGCUGCAAGAACACUGCGGGGAUCCUGUUGGACAAACGAGACCAGACUGUGAUCAGAACCAUAACCCUGAAUCCAAUAACUGGGAGAAGACCAUGCUGCAGUCCUAUGAGAGCCUGUGCUUUGAGGUCUCCCAUCUCCACUCAGCGCUGAAGAUGCAGACAGACCUUGUGAAGAGGCUUAAAGACUCUUACUCUUUGCUUGUUGCAAGCAAGCCAGCAGCAUCAAUGGUUCCAGUCCAGUGUCUGGAUGAUGUCGAAAAGAACAACUGGACAAUGCGGGUGUCAGUCCCUCGCCCCCCCAAUGCCCCCCCAGUGCCCUCAAGCUCUGGCCGUCCCGGCCCUCCAAUGGGCCACCCAGUGCUGGAUGGCCUGAGGGAGGACUGCUGGCGGCAGGGCCCCUGGUCCAGCCACUGUCCUGUGGCCCUGAGUAGCCCAGUGCUUCUGCCUCCCCCCCCUCAGAACCAGGCUUCUUUGGAUGACAGUUCCUGGUCCUUUCCCAGCCCCCCCAAGCCCAGUGACACUGUCUUCUGGGAGGGUCAAAAUAGCCCUCCCUACUCCUCCACUUCCAAGAGAAGCAUCCCCUAAAGCCCGCCAUACUGACCUAACCACUCCCUGCACCCCCUGCCUGCCGCAUACCACCUGACCUGCCUUAAUACCACUUCUCUGUUAGCCAUGAGAACACAGGGCCUGGGGGGAUCCCUGUCUACCACUGAGGGAUCCCUGUCUCAUAAUGAGGGAAAGUCCCUGAGUUCGUGGGAGAGGAAAUAUACAUGGGACGAAGAAAAAAGACUUGCAACAGCCACAUGUCUGUUUGUAAUGGCGUGUGCAUCUUUAUUUGUCUAUUGGGGUUUAAACCCUUUUAGCCACUCACUGUGGGAACUCAUUGAUCCACAGUCAGAAGCACUCUGUUUUAAUUGUAGCCCUCUGGUGACAACACAGCACUGCUCAGUGCUUGUUAGAGGCCACACAUAAACUGGUAAAAAUAUUUGUCUUCUAAGAAGGUAAACAGUGUCUUAUUGCUGUAUUCCAACACAUGGCAAAAUAAACCUGGACUUAAAUUACCUCAAGAUUGAGGCUGGUGGACUUGACAGAUGUUUCCAAAAUGUUUAUUUAUAUUGGAUUUAAAUACAUCUGCUCUGCCAUUGGAGCACACAAGCAAGGAUUGUAAGAACAAUGUCAGUAAUGUAAAUCUUCAUAAAAGCGAGAUGGCAAUUCAUUGGAAGCACAGGACAAUAAUUGGAAGAGUU